rnacentral:sRNA from 1 species
CACACACACACACAGUGCUGCUUUGGUGGCUGCUGUGGACCUGUUUUACCCUCAGGGUCUCCUCUUUCAUCUCAGUCCUUCUUAAAGUGUCUGCAGAGCUGUCUACAACUCCUGACUUUCCUUCCUCAGAGCUCCCAGGGACUUCCCUCCAAGACUGUGUCUUCCUGUCCUCCAUCCUCAAGGCGGCUGAUUUCCUGGGGAUCAUCAAACACACGUGUGCCAAGAACCUCACACAGACUGUGAGGUCCUUCGAUCUCUCUGGGACAGCCAGAAUUUUGCAGACUGAGAAACAUGUAGAGGAAGCUGGGUCUCUGAAGCUAGUGGAGUUCUGGUAAGAAGACCCGAGAAGGGUGUGGAUCAGAGACUGGGAGCAAUGCAAAUCUGGCAGGAAAUGUCUUGGUUCAGAUCACCCACAGGUUUUCUUUCUCAGGCUCAGCAUUUGCCUGCUUCCUUUCCCUUUCUCCUCUGUCAACGGUAGCUUUUACCACAGCUCUGCUCACAGGCGAGCACUCACUUCCUCAUUCUCUGCCCAGUGCACCUCUGCGUCUGUCAGAUUGGGUGCAAUGCUACUUCUGGUUCCUCAGCUUGCUCCCUGGGACGAUCCUCUCAUCUUGAGCACUAGAGAACUCUAGUAACAGGAGGCUCAAGGGCCUUCCUCAGCAGGUCGGGUUCCUGUUCUCACCUACACCCUCACCCUCGGCUGGAGUCCCCAUUCCAGAGAAAAUCUCAGAAGGCCUUCAUCUUCCAGGCGCUUCUCCGGCGGAAGCUGGGUUUAGUGGUGACCCCACUAAUUGUCUCCCAACUCUUUUAUGCUCUUUCCACACAUGGCCUCCAGAACACCACGGCCUCUGGCUUUCCCUCAGUACCACUGGCUGAUCCAUCUCAGGCUUCUUGGAAACAGUCUGUCCUUACUGGAGAACUGCAGGCCCAGCCUCUUGUUUUCCUUUCUGCUUUAACCAUGCCCACUGCUGUGGUGAUUCUAGCCACGUCAAUGCCUCGAGCGUCGCCAACAUCUCCCACAAUGAUGUCUCUAUACCGCAUUCAGGCUCCUUGCCCAGCUGUGUAAUAAUAGCAUUUCCUUUCCUCAUCACAUGCAAUCCUUCGCUCAUCCUUAAGUGAAUCCAGAGGCUGCCACAUUACCUGGGCCCAGGCUCUAAAGUGCAAGCAUUUGUGUGUGUUCCUUCUCCCGCUCCCCAUUAUCCUUCUCUUAGCUGCCUCGAUCCCGUCCCCUACGGUUCACGCAACCCAUCUGUCAGAACGAUCACUUUAAAGUAUAUGUUGACCCAGGAAUGUCUCCCUCUCCUCCAGCCCUUGAUGACAUUCCUUGAUAUUCAGAAUAACUCAAAAUCCUUCCAGUGUGUGCUCACAUGCUAAUUGCUUCACUAGUUCUCCAGGUCUCCAUUAAAAAGCAACUGUACAGUCCGUCUCCACGGGACUCCAAGGAGGCAUGGUCUAGAUCCUGGUUGUUUUGGCCUAUGGAAUGCAACUUAAAUGACAGUGUGCCACUUCUGAGUCUGUCCUCUUUAAGAACCCUGGUGUGACAUCGUGACAAAAUGCCUGGAAAAACAGCUUCAGGGAGAAGGUUCUGUUUUUUUUGUUUUUUUUGUUUUUGUUUUUUUUUUUUAAUUCACAGUUUGAGGAUGCUGUCCACAGAGAUGGGGCCAGGCAUGGUGGUAAGAGUGCUGUAACUGUGGCAGCAGGAAUGUGACCCAGCUGGACACAUUGUGUUCACGGUCAGGAAGCUGGUGCUCGCAUUUCAAUCUGUCUGGGCCCCCAGCCUGUGCUACAAUGCUGUUCUCAUUCCAGAUGUAUCUUCCUUCCUCAGUUGAACCUCUUUGGAAAGGCCCUCACAGAUACAUGUGUUUCCUAGGGGAUUCUAAAUUCCAUCAAGAUGGCACGGGAUUAGUCAUCACACUUCUGCCCUCAACAGCUGGACAGAGUAAUGUGGCCAUCCCAGACUGCCAGCCUUGCAAGCCAACAGCUGACCCUAAGCGAACAGGUCUCCUCUUGCUCUGCGAGAACACGCUCUACCAAGCCUCCUCUUUCAGAAAUUUCAGGAACAAGGGCUACCAAUCUUCAUGUUCAUUUACAUCUCAAAACUUCAGAGUAGACAUGGAAGAGCCUUUCAAGAACUUCCUCCUCAUGCUCUUCUUCAAUAUGGAUUUGCAGAUUCUGUGUGGCAAAAAGAAUCUCUAAGACACUCCACUGUCCAUGAGAGAUGCUAGAAUGUCCUUGGCUUGGGCAGGAUUGUGGAGCACCCUUCUACCAUUCCUGGGGAUUUACCACUAAUGGCACAGGAAGUUACAGACUUCAACUCUAAUCCGACCCUUCGCCUCCUUCUCUUCCUUCUCCCAAGUCUCUUUGUAUAGAGAGUAGGGAGGAAAUGAGACAUGGACCUAGAUCAGUUCUGCUGCCUCUUAGGACGUUGGGCAUCAGAGCAGGGGCCAGAGAUGUCUACCGUGAAUAGAGGUGUGCUCUUUGUGUUCAAUUUUACUUAGCUGUAAUUUACAUUUUUAUACUUAUUUAUGUCUGUACAUGUUGUAUAUAUACGUUGUGUG